UACGGAAGGCAGCAGUGGGGAAUAUUGCACAAUGGGCGCAAGCCUGAUGCAGCCAUGCCGCGUGUAUGAAAAAGGCCUUCGGGUUGUAAAGUACUUUCAGUCGUGAGGAAGGUGUUAAGGUUAAUAACCUUAGCAAUUGACGUUAGCGACAGAAGAAGCACCGGCUAACUCCGUGCCAGCAGCCGCGGUAAUACGGAGGGUGCGAGCGUUAAUCGGAAUUACUGGGCGUAAAGGGCACGCAGGCGGUUAAUUAAGUUGGAUGUGAAAUCCCCGGGCUUAACCUGGGAAUGGCAUUCAAGACUGGUUAGCUAGAGUCUUGUAGAGGGGGUUAGAACUCCAUGUGUAGCGGUGAAAUGCGUAGAGAUGUGGAGGAAUACCGGUGGCGAAGGCGGCCCCUGGACAAAGACUGACGCUCAUGUGCGAAAGCGUGGGGAGCAAACGAGGGAUUAGAUACC
rnacentral:rRNA from 1 species